GAUGAACGCUCGCUACAGGCUUAACACAUGCAAGUCGAGGGGAAACGGCAUCGAAAGCUUGCUUUUGAUGGGCGUCGACCGGCGCACGGGUGAGUAACGCGUAUCCAACCUGCCCAUCACUUGGGAAUAACCUUGCGAAAGUAAGACUAAUGCCCAAUGACAUCCCACGAAGGCAUCCGAAUGGGAUUAAAGAUUUAUCGGUGAUGGAUGGGGAUGCGUCUGAUUAGCUUGUUGGCGGGGUGACGGCCCACCAAGGCAACGAUCAGUAGGGGUUCUGAGAGGAAGGUCCCCCACAUUGGAACUGAGACACGGUCCAAACUCCUACGGGAGGCAGCAGUGAGGAAUAUUGGUCAAUGGGCGAGAGCCUGAACCAGCCAAGUAGCGUGCAGGAUGACGGCCCUAUGGGUUGUAAACUGCUUUUAUAAGGGAAUAAAGUGGGUCACGUGGGACUUUUUGCAUGUACCUUAUGAAUAAGGACCGGCUAAUUCCGU
rnacentral:rRNA from 1 species